GGCGCGGGCGGGGCGAGGCGCAGGCGCGACGCACGGCGGGCUGCAGCCGGGCCCCCGCGCCGCUCCCGGGAGUCGAUGGCAGCUGCACAGCGCGGCCGCCCGGCGGAGCGCGGCGCGGCUCGGCGCCCCCGGCGCGGGAUGCGCGGGCGGGCAGGCGGCGGCGGCAGCGGCAGCGGCGGCAGCGGCUGCGGCAGCGGCAGCUCCGGGAGCCGUAGGGACGGGGCCGGGCGGCCGGCGGCCGCCGAGCUCGCCUGACCUGCGUGCCCCCCUGGCCGCGCCGGGCUGCCCCGAAGGAUGUCCGCCCAGUCCAAGGGGACCGCAUCCUCCUCCUCGUCGCCAUCCGAGGGGCCGCCGGCAGCCUCCAAAGCCAAGGUGAAGGAGCAGAUCAAGAUCAUCGUGGAGGACUUGGAAUUAGUCCUGGGGGACCUGAAAGACGUGGCCAAGGAACUUAAGGAGGUGGUUGACCAGAUCGACACGCUGACAUCUGAUCUGCAGCUGGAGGAUGAGAUGACAGAUAGUUCCAAAACAGACACGCUGAACAGCAGCUCCAGCAGCACAACAGCUUCCAGCUUGGAGAAAGUCAAGGUGCGGGGCAGCACACCACUCAUCAAGCCGCCUGCACACCCCUCUGCUAUCCUCACCGUGCUGCGGAAGCCGAAUCCGCCCCCGCCUCCGCCGCGACUGACGCCCGUCAAGUGCGACGAGCCUUCCAGGCUGUCUCCUUCAGCAAACCCUGUCAAGACGAAUGGUACACUGCUGCGAAAUGGGGGCUUGCCAGUCCCACCCAACCGCAUCCCAAAUGGAGAUAUAUGCUGUAUACCGAACAGUAAUUUGGAGAAAGUUGCAAUGCAGCCUCUGAUGCACAGACCUGAGAAAGAGCGAUGUCCUCAGCCGGGAGCAAGGGAACGGGUACGAUUUAGUGAAAAAGUGCAGUACCACGGCUAUUGCCCUGACUGUGAUGUUCGGUAUAACAUUAAAAACAGGGAGGUGCACUUGCACAGUGAGCCUGCCCGUGUUGUGGGAAAGCUGCCACACCAGUGCCCUCCUCUGCCACCUCCACCACCUCCGCUGCCUCCAUUUCCUCUGGAAAAUGGAGGAAUGGGGAUAAGUCCCAGUAAUAGCUUUCCUCCUCCGAGACCUGCGACUGUGCCUCCACAAACCGCACCAAAACCCCAGAAGACCAUCUUGAGGAAAUCAACCACUACAACAGUGUGAUGUAUGCCACUUGAAACAAUUCUUUGUUCUUUCCUAUAUAUAAACAUAAAUAGGUAAUGAGCACUUUCUACUUGAGCAAUAAAAAGACCCAAUGUAUUACUCCCUGUAUCCAGUGAAGUGGCAUAGAAAUCACAUGCACCUUCAGGCUUGAAGGAAUAUCUAUAGCUGGAGGCACAUCACUUAAUUUCUUGCAUAUCAGAUUCGUCUUUGUGACUUCUUGCAGGCCAGAUCUGAGAAGGAGCUAGGAACCUGACCCUCCAUGGAGAAUGGAAAAGCCCUUCAAGUUAGAGCACAACUGAUCACGAGUAUAAUCUGCAUUGAAUCAUCUUUCUCAGAUCUGACAGCUACAAGCUGAGUCCCGGCAAAAGCCACAGCCUUAAAUUCCAUUUAGUGGAAAAGAAGAAUAAAAAGGACUAAAUGUCUUGCCCCGUUGCAGAAAUGGCUCUCUCCAAGCCUGACACUUGAGUUCUGUGUUGAGCAACCAGAUUAACAAACAAUGAGGUUUUCAUGGGUCCAGCCAGCAUCCAAAAAUAUUUCAAUAUGUAGCCAAAAGGAGAAAAGAAGCACUUAAGUGAUAGCAGAAAAUGAAUGCAUUUACUGUAACAGAGGAAUGUUACCGUCCGUGGAGAAAGAAGACCUCUGUCAUCCCUUGUACAUAUUCAAAGCCAUACAGGAACAGGGCAUCGGUAAUGUUAAAUUGCUUAAAAGGAUGCUGUCUCCUGUCCUCUACCCAACUUUGAAGAAGUUCAGCUGUUAGAGAUUGCAUCUCAACGCACUUUUAGUAUUUGCACUGUCACUUCCAUUCAGGGUAAUGAUGUGUGCCACCAUUUGCACAGAUGGCCCCAGGAGACUUUUGAACCACAACAAUCUAUAUUUUGCCGGGGCUCCAAAAGGAAUUAAAAUGUUAGAACUGGAGAAAAACAUUUGCGCUCUCUUUCACUAUGGGGAUCUCUUCACAGAAAGGACUACGGUCCUUUCUUAGGUUUGAAUAAAUACAUACAUAUACAUACAUAUAUAUAUAUGUAUAUAUAUGAAAAAGCAUCAAUGUGAUAAGGUGUAUUUAAAAAGGGGAUAUAAUCUUUUUUAAUAGCAUCCAUUUUUUAUCAUAUUAGCAGCAAAGAAAUUUAGUCUAUUGAAUUAUACAUCCAAAAUGUUCCUAUCGAACAUUGACAUAGUCCCAGUUACCCUUAAAGAAGUCAUUUGUAAUAUGUAUUUGACAUAAAUUUUUUCUAGCCAUUGUCUAUACUUCAUGGAGCAAUCUAACAGACAAGCAGCAUUUUCAGUUUAUUUUUCUAAAUAAAUGUGUUGUUUAUAUUAUUUGCAGUCACUCAUUCUGGCUGGUUUUCGUUAUCUCCAAAAAUGAUUUAAAGACAGAACCAAAACACAGGAAUUAUUUGUUUGUGUUAAGCUGUAAUGAUUUGCUGACCGAAAGCUUUAAUAUAAAUACUGUAAUUUGUAAAAUGAUGAAGUAUAUUUAUACAGGCAAAUAUGUAUGGAAAACAAGAGGAGGUAUUUUAACUCUUAAUUUCAGAACAUAGUUUAUUUUAAUAUCCACACAAAUAAAUCUAAUUAUAUAAUGGGAUAGAUUUUUUUAUUAUCAGUGAGUUUUAGCAAGUGAAGAUUUGGAUGUUUAAGAAUGAAAGGAAUGUAGUCUAAUAAUGGCGGUUUCCCAAAUUAUACAGAGACAUUUUCUCAGCUGUCUCAUUUUAUUCAAAAACUGGUUUAGGUUUUUUGGGAGUUGGGGUUUUUUUUGGUGUGUGUGUGUGCUAGGACUUUUUUGUUUUGUUUUUGUUUGUUUUAGCAUGCUAACAAGGCCAUGAAGUUGAUAUUUGAUCAAAAAUAAUUUGAGAAGCUACAGAAUAAGAGGUUUUUCCUUAGAACUAUCAGCAGUUUACAGUUAAGAAGAGUCAUUGUUAUCCACCUACUGCAGUGUUUUGUUAUGAAGUUAUUGAACAUUUCAAUGCUAGAGCUGUUUUGAAUAAAAAUAUAUUUUUUCCUUUUUUCUUAGUCCAUUACCCUGUGGGUAAUUUUAAGAGAAAAGUAAAGCAUGUGAUUCCCAGCUCACUUAAAACAUUCAUUUUAAAUCCAGUCAUAUAUAUCUGAUUUGUAAAGCUGAAUAAGUUUUUCUUUAUUUUCAUUACUUUAUGGAACCUAUUAAGUGCUCACUAACAGAAAAAUGAUCUUUCAACAACAAAAAAUGGAAAAUUCAAGCCUUUUUUAAUCUGUGGGUUAACUUUGUAAAGGGCAGAUAACUUAAAAAUGUGUUGCUCUGCUCUAAUGUACUAACUAGUGUAUGCGUGCGUGUUUUUUUGUGUGUGUACGCAUGCGCACCCUUCCCUGCUGAUGAAUGAAAUGCCAGCUCUGCUGAAGUAAGUGCCACAAGUCCUGUUACUGCAAAAGAUGCUCAUGUUAUUGUAUUUUUUGGAGAAAGACCUGAGCUCUGUCUUUGCUUGUGACUCUGAAGCCAUAAAUAGCUUUUACAGUUUGUCAGGAAAUCACAAAAUGAAAUAAUUAAGUGAAUGUUAGCCUCCCUUAUUUGGUAAACUUGGGAUCGUCUCAUGGUUUGACUUUUUUUAAAGAAGAUUAGCGGUCAAUUUCCACUGGUGCAAUGGUUAAAUGAAACCUUUGUAUUUGUUGAAGAAUGAUGGCUGUGUUUUGUUCCCGUACAUUUUAGCUUAUGGUUGGCUUACAGUCUUUUAACUGUGAUUUUGUUUCUGUGUCAUUAGAAUAACAUAUUUGGACACACAACUUGCAUGGGCUUGGUUUUGUUCCCUCUUUGGAUAACGUAUAUUUUAAAAUUGGAGAGCUCACUCUUUGAGACUAAUAUUCAGAGUUGUUUAAAGAAGGGACAACAUUAUUGAAACAAUAAGAAAAUUUCAAAAUGCUAAUUUGAGCACUUCCAUUAUUAUCUAAUAAUAAUAUUUGGAAAAGCUCUUAUUUUUGUGAACAGAAUGCAUUCAUCUAUAUUUGAAAAUAGCCCAAUAAAAAUCUAGUGAAAUAAUUUGUUACUACUUGCAAAUACUUUUCUGCUAUACUGAGUUCUAGAUCACCUUGUGUGUGAAAAUUUUGCUGUACAAAAAACACCUGGAACAAUGCACAAUUUUCUUCAGAAAAAUACAGCAGAUAUGAAAAAUAAUGACCUGGUCCUAGGAGUGGUUUUACAGAACAUAUGCAAUGCAAAAAUAAUAAAUAUAUAACAACAUGUAGACCUAAUGUAAGUGAAAAAUGUAGUUGGAAGAGGACACUGUGAAUCAUGGUUCUCAUCAAUCACAUGCUGUUGCUUACAGUUCUGCAUUAACUGGAGUUUUAUACUGGAAAGUAAAUUUCAGUAUGUGUGCACACACAUACACCCACAUGUAUCACAUCUUAUUCAACUACCUGUGACACUGGGGUAAAUUUGGAUUUCUUGAUUUUUAAGGAUUUAAAUAAUUAGAUAUUUAGGUAAGUAUUCAAUAUUGUGAUCUAAAUUGAGCUAAUGUCUAUAUACCAUGCAGAUACUCCCCUGAGAUAACACUUCAACACAGGAUAAUAAGACUCUACUGGAAUUUCAGAAAUUAUUGGCAAAUAAUUAGCACUGAAAUAUUUUUUCAUAAAGUUUAAAACCAGAGGGGACAAUUAGAUUAUCUCAUUAAACAACAAAAUUUUGUAGUUUUUCCAUUGUCUUAGGUUAAAUAUUUUGACACAGACCAGCAGAACCUCUUCAACUAAGGUGACAUUAUAGAGACCGAUGGGUGCUUUGGUAGGUUUAUGGGUGUUCUGUGUAUAAGAAGUGCCUGCAGAAGUGAUUCUAGAAUAGUGCAGUGUUUCAUUAUCUGGUAUCUGAAAAGCUA